rnacentral:ribozyme from 1 species
CUUUUAAUGCUGCCUAGUUAUAAUUGUACUCUGUAUUGAUCAUUUUACUUUGUAUUUUAUAAUUAGAAGGUCCCAAGCCCUUGUAAAAAGCAGAGGGAAAG